rnacentral:tRNA from 1 species
UCCCUGGAGGUCUAGAGGUUAGGACUCUGUGCUUUCACCACUGCAGCCCAGGUUCAAUCCCUGGUCUGAGAA